GCGAACAUAGCGUAGUGGUUUGAGUGUUGGACUAUGACUCUGGAGAUGAGGGUUCGAAUCCCAACUUGGCC
rnacentral:tRNA from 1 species